UUAUAUAUAUAAGUUGUAAUAAAUCCCAAAAAGUCACUCAAAAUACCAAAAAUCGCAAACUGCACGAACUGCAGUUUUUGCACUGCGUACCGGUACUCGGGCAGGAGUGCCGGUACCCGGCAAUAUUCCUGCACAACCCGAGCCUCUGCCAGACAAUCUGUUUACGGCGUACCGGUACCCGCUAAAUGCAGUACCGAUACCGACUCCAGUACCGGUACUCGGUACCUCAGUACCGAUACCCAGCACCUCCCAGCCCAAACUCGAGAGCAGCUUCUCUCGGUUACGUACUG
rnacentral:lncRNA from 1 species